rnacentral:rRNA from 1 species
UACGUAGGGUGCGAGCGUUGUCCGGAAUUAUUGGGCGUAAAGAGCUCGUAGGCGGUGUGUCACGUCGGCCGUGAAAACCUGGGGCUUAACUCUGGGCGUGCGGUCGAUACGGGCAUCACUAGAGUUCGGCAGGGGAGACUGGAAUUCCUGGUGUAGCGGUGAAAUGCGCAGAUAUCAGGAGGAACACCGGUGGCGAAGGCGGGUCUCUGGGCCGAUGACUGACGCUGAGGAGCGAAAGCAUGGGUAGCGAACAGG